UACGGGGGGAGCAAGCGUUGUUCGGAUUUACUGGGCGUAAAGGGCGCGUAGGCGGCCACCGCAAGUCGACUGUGAAAUCCCUCGGCUUAACCGGGGAACUGCGUCUGAUACUGGAUGGCUUGAGUUUGGGAGAGGGAUGCGGAAUUCCAGGUGUAGCGGUGAAAUGCGUAGAUAUCUGGAGGAACACCGGUGGCGAAGGCGGCAUCCUGGACCAACACUGACACUGAGGAGCGAAAGCCAGGGGAGCAAACGGG
rnacentral:rRNA from 1 species